rnacentral:lncRNA from 1 species
ACUGUGAGCGCGGGCCGGGCGGGGCCGGGGCGUGGGCAGGGGAGUGGGCAGUGGGUGCGGUCAGUGGGUGUGGUCAGUGGGUGUGGUCCCUGGGUGUGGUCAGUGGGUGUGGUCAGUGGGUGUGGUCAGUGGGCGUGGUCAGUGGGUGUGGUCAGUGGGUGUGGGCAGUGGGUGCGGUCAGUGGGCGUGGGCAGGGGUGUGGUCAGUGGGCGUGGUCAGUGGGCGUGGUCAGUGGGUGUGGGCAGUGGGUGUGGGCAGGGGCAUGGGCAGUGGGUGUGGUCAGUGGGCGUGGUCAGUGGGUGUGGUCAGUGGGUGUGGGCAGUGGGUGUGGGCAGUGGGUGUGAUCAGUGGGUGUGGGCAGUGGGUGUGGACAGUGGGUGUGGUCAGUGGGUGUGGGCAGUGGGUGUGUCCCUGGGUGUGGUCAGUGGGUGCGGUCAGUGGGUGUGGGCAGUGGGUGUGGUCAGUGGGUGUGGUCAGUGGGUGUGGUCAGUGGGCGUGGUCAGUUGUGUGGUCAGUGGGUGUGGUCAGUGGGCGUGGCCCCGGCCCCGGCCCCGCCCCGGCUGACGCGCCGCCCGCAGUCCUGCACGAGGAGCCGGAGCCGCCGUGGCCGUUGGGCGCGGCGCGGCGCUCCCCGGUGCGCGGCAG